rnacentral:ncRNA from 25 species
CGCUCAUCCAGAGGGGCAGAGGGAAACGGCCCGUUGAAGCCCCGGCAACCCUCCAGCCGGUCUCGUCGCGCACAGCGCAGCGGGGCUCCCGGCUCGGGAAGGUGCCAAUUCCGUCUCAUGGCGAAACGCGUCAUGAGGAAGAUGAGGA